rnacentral:tRNA from 1 species
UGUUGUAAUUAUAUGGAAUCUCUCGGUCCUCGUUUACUUGCUAAAGAGCGUGGAGGUUCGAGUCCUCUUCAAGGCA